CCUACGGGAGGCAGCAGUGGGGAAUAUUGGACAAUGGGCGAAAGCCUGAUCCAGCAAUGCCGCGUGAGUGAUGAAGGCCUUAGGGUUGUAAAGCUCUUUUACCAGGGAUGAUAAUGACAGUACCUGGAGAAUAAGCUCCGGCUAACUCCGUGCCAGCAGCCGCGGUAAUACGGAGGGAGCUAGCGUUGUUCGGAAUUACUGGGCGUAAAGCGUACGUAGGCGGUUAUUCAAGUCAGAGGUGAAAGCCCGGGGCUCAACCCCGGAACUGCCUUUGAAACUAGAUAGCUAGAAUCUUGGAGAGGUUAGUGGAAUUCCGAGUGUAGAGGUGAAAUUCGUAGAUAUUCGGAAGAACACCAGUGGCGAAGGCGACUAACUGGACAAGUAUUGACGCUGAGGUACGAAAGCGUGGGGAGCAAACAGGAUUAGAUACCCUGGUAGUCCACGCCGUAAACGAUGAUAACUAGUUGUUCGGGCACUUGGUGCCUGAGUGACGCAGCUAACGCAUUAAGUUAUCCGCCUGGGGAGUACGGUCGCAAGAUUAAAACUCAAAGAUAGUACGGCGUGAGACGUGCGACGACGACACAGGGAGUAGG
rnacentral:rRNA from 1 species